rnacentral:rRNA from 1 species
AGGUUAAGUUAAUAAGGGCGGCACGGUGGAUGCCUUGGCACUAGGAGCCGACGAAGGACGUGACAAACGACGAUAUGCCUUGGGUAGCUGUAAGUAAGCGAUGAUCCAGGGAUUUCCGAAUGGGGGAACCCAACAGGUAAUACCUGUUACCCACAUCUGUUAAGGAUGUGAGGAGGAAGACGCAGUGAACUGAAACAUCUAAGUAGCUGCAGGAAGAGAAAGCAAAAGCGAUUGCCUUAGUAGCGGCGAGCGAAACGGCAGAAGGGCAAACCGAAGAGUUUACUCUUCGGGGUUGUAGGACUGCAAUGUGGACUCAAAGAUUAUAGAAGAAUGAUUUGGGAAGAUCAGCCAAAGAGAGUAAUAGCCUCGUAUUUAAAAUAGUCUUUGUACCUAGCAGUAUCCUGAGUACGGCGGGACACGUGAAAUCCCGUCGGAAUCUGGGAGGACCAUCUCCCAACCCUAAAUACUCCCUAGUGACCGAUAGUGAACCAGUACCGUGAGGGAAAGGUGAAAAGCACCCCGGGAGGGGAGUGAAAUAGAACCUGAAACCGUGUGCCUACAACAAGUUCGAGCCCGUUAAUGGGUGAGAGCGUGCCUUUUGUAGAAUGAACCGGCGAGUUACGUUAUGAUGCGAGGUUAAGUUGAAGAGACGGAGCCGUAGGGAAACCGAGUCUGAAUAGGGCGCC